GAUGAACGCUGGCGGCGUGCCUAAUACAUGCAAGUCGAGCGAACGGACGAGAAGCUUGCUUCUCUGAUGUUAGCGGCGGACGGGUGAGUAACACGUGGAUAACCUACCUAUAAGACUGGGAUAACUUCGGGAAACCGGAGCUAAUACCGGAUAAUAUUUUGAGCCGCAUGGUUCAAAAGUGAAAGACGGCCUUGCUGUCACUUAUAGAUGGAUCCGCGCUGCAUUAGCUAGUUGGUAAGGUAACGGCUUACCAAGGCAACGAUGCAUAGCCGACCUGAGAGGGUGAUCGGCCACACUGGAACUGAGACACGGUCCAGACUCCUACGGGAGGCAGCAGUAGGGAAUCUUCCGCAAUGGGCGAAAGCCUGACGGAGCAACGCCGCGUGAGUGAUGAAGGUCUUCGGAUCGUAAAACUCUGUUAUUAGGGAAGAACAUAUGUGUAAGUAACUGUGCACAUCUUGACGGUACCUAAUCAGAAAGCCACGGCUAACUACGUG
rnacentral:rRNA from 1 species